rnacentral:lncRNA from 1 species
GAGAUUUGUUAGGGACUCAAGCUGUUCCGUGCCUGAUUAUGUGAAAAAUAGAUGUAGUAAUAGAUGUGUAACCAGCCUGUCUUAGGUGUUUUCUAUAUCCCAGUGCUCAAGCAUCAUCUGAGAACUUCAUAAUCUCCUAUAUAUUUAGAAUUUCAAUGAAGUGGGAAAGCACCGUUAUCUCCAGAUGAGAAUGGGGGGAAAGGUUCUCAAACAAUGAAUUUGCAGGUGGGGAGGAAAGGCACAGAGAGUAAGUUGGGCAGGAGAAAGAAGUAGAUCCAGGUGUUCCUGCUCUCUCACCUUUCCCUCCCCUUGCCACUGUCAGUCAGCUAGGAGGUGAAAUCCACCCAGCACCAAGGCUCUGCAUGCCCAUGGCUCUUAGGGAAUUCAGAGCCUGACAGCAAUCCAGCACUUCUUCCUUUUCCUUUAAGUCACCUUCAGCAAACGUGACGUUUGGGCAAGCCAAAGGAAGAUCUUUUUGGAUAUUGUGUCACAUGAAGGAUGAGACAGACCCUGCUCUCAGGUGCAACCAGUCGGAGCUAGGAAAGGAGGUGUUUUUGGAGGCAUUUCAGAGAGAACAAUGAUCUGGGUUUGCUGAUAUUUACGGGAGCUUCUUCCAUGCAUGAAGGCCGGCAUGGAAGAAAGGGCAAAGGGCACUGCAAUCAACUGGAAUUCAUCCAUGAACGAUGUUUAUUAGAAGAAUGGGAAAAACAUGUCUGUGAAGAGAAAUUGGAUAGUGGGUCACUGACAUGCUGUAUCCGUGCAUGUAUAUUACAUGAAAAAUCUUCAUGUCAUUCAUUCUCAUCAAAAACGCCUGUAGACCUUUAGCUGUACUGGUUGUGGACAGCUAAAUUCCACUUCCCUACACAUCCGCAACAUGUGCCUUUUGGCAAGGGAAAUCGGGGCACUGCGUAUUUGGAAAAUCUGUGAGAAAGAAAUGACAAGAUCAUGGUGUCUGGAAAUAGAGAUGAAAAAACUGUAGCAGGGAAAGGAAUGGCUCUCUAUUUCAAGAAUAAGGAUGAAUGCAGAAUAAAAGCAAGUUUUUCCUCUAACA